rnacentral:lncRNA from 13 species
GGGAAGAACUGCAUAUCUAUCUAGCUAAUGCCAGCUGAUCUGAUCCGAGCUGGUGAUGAUGAUGAUGAUGAUGAUGAGCAUUGCUGAUGUCAUCAAUCAGCUGGUCGAAGCGCAUGAAGAAGGAAAUGAAGUCAACCUCAACAAGUCGCUGUAGUGGCUGUGACGUGAAAACCCCAUCGUUGUCCUCACAUCAGUUUCACAGGAAACAUCUGUGUGUAGCUUCAGUGAGACCAGAACGACUCUGGCCACAGUGUCCUAUUGAUUUAUGCAAAAUAAUAAUUCACUUAAAAAAUGACCAGCUAUGUAUUUAUUUAUUUAUUGAUCAGAAAAAUAACCAGCUAUUUAAUUGUGAAUCUGCCUUCUACUCCCAACCAGGUGGUCCGGACUCUUUGAAUACUCCACACAGUCUUACACAGGCUAUGAGGUAAACCAAAACAAAUCAAAACUGUUCCCCCCUUUUUUUCACCUUUAUUUAACAAGUCAGUUAAGAACAAAUUCUUAUUUUCAAGAACUGCCUGUUCAGGGGCAGAAUGACAGAUUUGUACCUUGUCAGCUCGGGGGUUUGAACUUGCAACCUUCCGAUUACUAGUCCAACUCUCUAACCACUAGGCUACCC